UACGUAGGGUGCGAGCGUUUAAUCGGAAUUACUGGGCGUAAAGUGUGCGCAGGCGGCCAUGCAAGUCGAGUGUGAAAGCCCCGGGCUUAACUUGGGAAUUGCGCUCGAAACUACGUGGCUGGAGUGUGGCAGAGGAAGGUGGAAUUCCACGUGUAGCGGUGAAAUGCGUAGGAGAAUGUGGAGGAACACCAAUGGCGAAGGCAGGCCGUUCUGG
rnacentral:rRNA from 1 species